AUUGAACGCUGGCGGCAUGCCUUACACAUGCAAGUCGAGCGAUCUUCUUCGGAAGAGAGCGGCGGACGGGUGAGUAACGCGUGGGUAACCUGCCUCAUACACAUGGAUAACAUACCGAAAGGUAUGCUAAUACAAGAUGAUAUAAGAGAUUCGCAUGGAUUUCUUAUCAAAGCUCCGGCGGUAUGAGAUGGACCCGCGUCUGAUUAGCUAGUUGGUAAGGUAACGGCUUACCAAGGCGACGAUCAGUAGCCGACCUGAGAGGGUGAUCGGCCACAUUGGAACUGAGACACGGUCCAAACUCCUACGGGAGGCAGCAGUGGGGAAUAUUGCACAAUGGGCGAAAGCCUGAUGCAGCAACGCCGCGUGAGCGAUGAAGGCCUUCGGGUCGUAAAGCUCUGUCCUCAAGGAAGAUAAUGACGGUACUUGAGGAGGAAGCCCCGGCUAACUACGUGCCAGCAGCCGCCGUAAAAC
rnacentral:rRNA from 1 species